UACAGAGGGUGCGAGCGUUAAUCGGAAUUACUGGGCGUAAAGCGCACGUAGGCGGCUUUGCAAGUCAGGUGUGAAAUCCCCGGGCUUAACCUGGGAACUGCAUUUGAGACUGCAUUGCUAGAGUAUGGGAGAGGGAAGUGGAAUUUCCGGUGUAGCGGUGAAAUGCGUAGAUAUCGGAAGGAACAUCAGUGGCGAAAGCGACUUCCUGGACCAAUACUGACGCUCAUGUGCGAAAGCGUGGGGAGCAAACAGG
rnacentral:rRNA from 1 species